rnacentral:rRNA from 1 species
GACGAACGCUGGCGGCGUGCCUAACACAUGCAAGUCGAACGCAGUGGGGACGGGUGAGUAACACGUGGGUAACCUCCCAUCAGAGGGGAUAACACUUGGAAACAGGUGCUAAACCGAUACUGAUGGAUGGACCCGCGGUGCAUUAGCUAGUUGGUGGGGUAACGGCGAACCAAGGCCACGAUGCAUAGCCGACCUGAGAGGGUGAACGGCCACACUGGGACUGAGACACGGCCCAGACUCCUACGGGAGGCAGCAGUGGGGAAUUUUGGGCAAUGGGCGAAAGUCUGACCGAGCAACGCCGCGUGAGUGAAGAAGGUUUUCGGAUCGUAAAGCACUGUUGGUAGAGAAGCGGUAUCUGAACAAAAAGCAACGGCUAACUACGUGCCAGCAGCCGCGGUAAUAC